CCCACUGCUGGCCUAGCCCCACCCGCUCUGGGGUCUGUGAAGCCCACCAUGAGGGUCGGGGUGGUCAGAGCAUCUGACAAGCUGGAGCCAGCUUGUGGUGGGUGUCGCUGGCGUGGACGACACGAAGACCCUGAAUGGGGAGCCGUUUCCCCGAAGGCUCUCUGCUGGGCCAGGGGCGGGGGCCCUCGUGCUGGCAUCUGGUGGGUAGCGGGUUCUGACCUAUGAGAUCAGUCUAGAGAAAGCCCCAGGCCCACUGGGGUUCCCAGGCCAGAGUGAGGGCAGGGGUGGGGCCUGGGUCAAGGACUAGCAAGCCAUGGUGCACCAGGUUCCCUGGUGCCAGCCUGUGCCAGGCCUGCUGCCCUCCCAGAACCUUGGGGUAGGGAGUUGCCCCCAUUUACCGAGGAGGCCUGGGCUUGGAGAGGCUGAGCCGAUCUUCAGGCCCACACAGCUGGUGGGCAUGGAGGGCCCAUCCUUGCCCUUUCCCUGCCUGGAAGCUGAGGCACAGAGAGCAGGGGUCCCCCAGGUGGUCAGGCCCCAGAGGCUACACUCAGGUUGGCGUACCAUGCAGCCUCUUCCUGCUAUCAGUGGGGGCAGCAGGACGGUUCAGGCAGAGUGGUAGCCGCAAGGUGGGGGCAAGGGACUGCUUGGGAGCCGCUGUGAGGCCAGGGAGGUGGUGGGGCUGCAGGGCUGGGAGAGGAGGCCCCAUGGGUCCCUCAGGGCCGUAUGUGGCCUCCAGAGCCGAGGCGGCUGCUGUGGGCUGCCCUACCCUGGUGAGUUUCGGGGAUCCUGGCCCCAUAAGAGAGUAGAGAGCGCUGGAGAGGAGGCGGCCUACCUGCCUUCCAGGCCCUUCCUGCUCUGGCUGGCUCAGUGGGUGGAGCACAGGCAGUGGCUGUGGCCCUGCCAUUGGCGCAGUGACCUUCCCUUCAGGCGUGUGAGGGUGGCAUGGCUGUGGAGGCUCCUGGCAGUGCGGGCACGUGUGGGUGCCGGGGAUUGUUGGGUAAUCCUUUGAUUAGAGGCCAGGAAACCCAAUCCUGCGGCCCAGGCGGUGUGUUGGGGGGGCCACUUUUUCUAGAGAGGCCCCUGCAGAUUAUGGGAUUUCCACCUGCCCCGCCCUGGGAGGCGUCUUGGGCGGAGAGCAUUUGGCCUUGGGAGGUGGGGAGGGCGUUCCUGCCCCGGAGCCUGGGAAGCUGUCUGCCAACCUCCGUUCAGGUACCCACGCGGCCCUCACCUGCUGUGUGACCCAGGCAGCGCGUCUCCCUCUCUGUCUUGACUUUGUCAUCUGUGAAGUGGGGUGAGGGCGCUUGCUUUGGGGGUGGUUGUGAGGGCAACUGACGUCAGGCCCCCUCCUUCAAUUCUUGCCUGGGAGCAGGGAAGCCACUGGCCGGGGUCCUCUCUGGACCUCAGUGUCUUUGUCUGAGGGCUGGGAAGAAGAGUUUCUUAUGGGUUCUGGGGCUCACGCAGGACUGCCCGCAGCACCCUGCAACUCCUGGAAUAGGGCGCUCAGUGUGGGGCUGAGGAACGUCAGGAGGGCACGAGUGUUCUGCCUCACAGGAAGAAGCAUUUUCUUGGGAGGAGUGGUUUCAGAGGCAGCUAGUUCUGGAACCAUCCUAGGACCUAGAGAUUGCUUAGGGCCAGGAAGCAAGGCCAGUCAGCGGGUGUAGCCUUGACCUGGACUUGAGGGGUCAAGACCCUGUCCUAUCCCCAUCUUGCUCAGCGGCCAGAGGAGAGAUGUGUGCACUUGGUGGGCUGUCACAGCCUGCGGGCCUUGGGACCAGCGCUCCAUCUGCCCAUCCCCAGCCGGGUGCAGUGCUGAGCUGAGGGAAGUGUGCAUUCUUCUUUAAGCAAAGAGGAUCUUCCUGAACUGUGGGAAGGAGUGUUUCCUCCUGGAAGGCGGGGCGGGCUGGCUGGGUCAGCAGAUGGGCCCCUCUGGCGCCUUCUCACCCUCUGGCCAGUCGUUGGCCCUCGUGGCCCUGCCACGAUGGGGUGGAUGUGUCCCCCUCGGCCCUCUGCACAGGACACAGCCCUUCCUCAUGGGGCCUGGUCCUGCUAAGGUCCCUGGAGGCUGUGUCCCAUGUGGCCCGACCUCCGUGCCAUCUGUCAUGCUGUUCCCUCUGCCUGGUGUGCCCGCCUGUUCUGUCCUUCUCCUUCCAUCCUUGUCCUGAGGCCAGCGUCCCCUGCUCUUAAAGCUGGCCCCAGGGACCUGGGAGGCCGGGGCCCAUGCAGCACAAAUGUGGAGAGGUCUUCCCCCACCGCCCCGGGCCUCCCUUUCCCAGGGCCUCCCUUUCUCAGGGCCUCCCUUUCCCAGCCCCCUCGGGCACCGACUUGUGCGGAUGCUGUGGUGUAGCCCCUCCCUGGGUAGAGGAGUGGGUAGGGGGCUGGCUCUGCAGCUUGGGGUCUGGCCUGGCAUCUGGAGAGACUUGUGGGGCGCAGCUUCCUGCCCUCACCACUGGAAUGGGCUGAGAUUGGGGUCCCACCCCUUUGCUCGUGACUCAGCAGCUGCAGGGUGGGGGAACCGGAGGCUUCUUGACAAAAACCCCAACCCUGGGCACCCGCCCAAGGCUUAGAUUCCCCUUACGAAGGUGGCAGCGGAGCCCUUGGUUCCUUCCUCUGGGGGCUCCCAACGGGAGGGUGGGGACGGGGCCCUCUCCUCCCCACCUCCCGGGCCUCCGAGGUCUCUGCUUCUCUGCUGCUUGGCACCCGUUGUGGCGCCCCAGGGUGAAGCUCUCAUUGCGCCCUGGCCACGGAGGCCCCUCCAUCCUCAGGAGACAGCUUAUUCUGCCUCUAGUCCCACCACCAUACCCCUUAGCAGCUGCUUCCCGCUCCUCCUGCAGGAGGCUCUCUGGGCCCUGGUCCUCUUGACGUUCUGUGGGCACUUGGCUUCCUGUCUCACCCAGCACGUGGGUGGUAGUGAUGGACACAGGCUCUGUGUGGGCCUCAUGCCUAGUGUGGAGCCAGCAGAGUUGUGCAGCGGAUGUGGAGUUGGGGAGGAGGGGAGCAGUGACAGCCACUCAGAGUGGGCUCUGCCUCUUGUGCCCCUCGGGCCGUGUGCCUGGGGACAGCUGGCUGGAGUCACGAGGCCCGGCGCUUGAGCUGCAGUGUGGAGGGUGGGCCCUAGCCUGCUCCAGCUCAGUGAGCAUGGCAGCCCCCGUUCUGCUGGGACCACUGCCAGUGGCCGAGACAAUGGAAGUGGACGUGCCCUGGAGGGUGUCACCGGUUGCCCUGACAAUGUUUGGGUUUCAGUGUCCCCAGCGGGUGAGUGGGGUAACGUAGCCCCGUCUAGCUGUAUUUGCCCGGCCGAGGGUGUGCCGGCUCUGUGGAGUGCCAGGUGCCGGGUGUUCGUUAAGUGUAGCUGCCGGGAAGGAGCUUUAGUUUGGGCCAAAGCCCUGCUGGGUUUUCGAGGGCCCCUGGGUGGUCAGCAGUGGGGGUACCUGGUUGGUUCACGGCGCUUUGGGCCCCACCCUGGGACUGGCAUGGAUCCUUUUGGAGGGAUCUGGAGUUUGGGGUGGGAGAAGCCUCAGCCUUGGCCUUGGUGGUCUCCAUCAAGCAGAGACCAAGGCCACGGGCAGGACGGGGGCUCUGAUGGGGGCUCUGUCACCCUGACAUCGCGUAUCUGGCCUGGCUGCGCCGGGCAGGUCUUCCCACGAGCUGAUGGCAGCCCCAGUAGCCUGUCCCACCGACUGCCUGCCUUGGUCCUCCUAAGGGACUUGUGAAACCCGGAACCGAGAAGGAGCCAAGGCAGGAGACAGCAAUUGAAGUUGAAAUUAACUUACAUCUCCCCAGCCCCAGGCCUGACACUGUCAGUGCAAAAUGCGUGACAAGGAAACUGAAAAUAAUCAGUCUUGACUCUCUGGCCUGGUUCAUUCACGACUAAAUACAUGUCAGUUCCCGGCACAGAUGAACGUGGAACGGGUGCCCCCAGGUGGGACUGUGGCUGCUGUUGUGUCCAGAUGGCCCCUCCUCCAGGAAGCCCUCCGUGAUUUCCCAUUCAGGAGGUCCUCUUCUGUGCCCAUGUUUCCUGAUACAUGUGUGUCUUGCAGUGUCCAUGUAGGGACAGUUGAGAGUCGGGGCAGCAGCCUGGGCCACUUCUGGGGGUGGGGUUCAGGCAGGGUGUGGUCGGCAGUCCAGAGGGAUGUGGUGGUGGAGACCAUGCAGGGGCCCUCGGCUCUGCCAGUGCUGGCCCAUUCUAAGCGCUGGAUCGGGGUCAUGCCACCCUCUUUAGUUCCUGUCAUUCUGCCGUGGUCCUAGGGGUAGAGCCCUGGCCCGGGACCUGGCGUUCAUCCUUGGCGCGGCCCUCCAUGCCCUCCUGUGGCUUGCUGGGGACCAGCUGUGCUGACUGAUGUGAGGUCUUCAACCGUCAGUUUCGUAUGUGCCGUCCUGUCACCCAAAUGCACUUCUGCUGUUGCCCCUUCAGGUCUCCCUCAGCUGUCAGCUCAUUGAGAGGCCUCCCUGAACCCCAGGCUGCCGUGGCCUUACCCCCACGGUCCCCGUGGCAGGCUCUGCUCGUCCCUCCCGGGUCCCCGUGGCCGGCUCCGCUCGUCCCUCCCGGGUCCCCGUGGCCGGCUCCGCUCGUCCCUCCCGGGUCCCCGUGGCCGGCUCCGCUUGUUCCUCCUGAGUGCUCUGCAGGUCCUGCCAGUGACCACCGUUCCCGGGUGUGCUUGGGGCUCUUGUUCGUCCUCCUGACCAGGACCUGGGCUCUGGGGACUCGGUGUGCCUAGGCACUGCAGGACCUGCCCUGUGUCCUGGCACUGCCCAGCUUCACAUUAUUGGCUGAAAGACACAUGUGUCUGGGUGCUGUGGGUGGACACCCCCAGGGAGGAGCCCCCGUUUUUGGGGUGUGCUGUGCCUUCACCCCACUGCUCAUACUCCUGAGCUGCUGGCGUCUGAAGCCCAGGGUGGGAAAGGAGCUGCCUUUGAGGGAGGGUCCUUCUGGAGGCCCCAGGGGCUUGGGGAGCCCGAGUUGGGACAGUGUGGGUUGGAGGAGGUGACAGGUGGACUGGCUGGGGUCCCACCAGCGCCUCACUGCUUCCGUCUUACGGAGGGGAAAGGCCAGGCUGGCGGGGGUAGCUUGGGAGGGACUGUCUCCAGGCACCACAUCCUGGGCCUAACCCUUGGGGAGAAGGCCCAGCUGUCACUGUGGAGGUUGCAGGCAGGUGGGAGUAGGGUGGUGACCUCUCUGUCACUGUGGAGGUGACACAUGGGUGGGAGUGGGAUGUGGCCUCUGUGUCACUAUGGAGGUGGCAGGCAGGUGGGAGUUGGGUGGUGGCCUCUCCGUCACUGUGGAGGUGGCAGGCAGGUGGGAGUUGGGUGGUGGCCUCUCCGUCACUGUGGAGGUGGCAGGCAGGCAGGAGUGGGUGGCCUCUCUGUCACCAUGGAGGUGGUGGGCGGGCAGGAGUGGGUUGUAGGUGGGGGUGGGUGGUGGCCUCUCUGUCACUGUGGAGGUGAAGGGCGGGGGUAGUGGAUGGUGGCCUCUUGAUGACUGUGGAGGUGAUGUGCAGGGGUGGGAUGGAGGCCUUGCCAUCACUGUGGGGGUGGCAGGCAGGUGGGGGUGGGGUGGGGACCUCGUGGUCAUCUGUGGGCCGGAUGGGGCGGCUGCAAGGAGAGCAGGUAGAGAAAGGGUUAAAGGGCCGAGGGAAGUAAUAAUGUUUCUAAUUUUCGUAUGUAAUUUCAUAAAAAUGUAAAUUGCUGGGCGGCCGACGCGCCCUGCCGCAGUGUUGACCGAGAUUAAUUGCGGGCACUCGUGGUCAGCCUGCCUUUGUCUCUGCGCCCCGAGCACAGCCCGGCCCCUCCGCCUGCCCGGGAGGCAGACACCGUGCUGUCUGCCCUGAUGGGGGCCGCAGCGCCUGGGCUUCUGCUGAGCAGGAGGGGGGCCUGGUCGGUCAGAGCCAGCCCCUGCCGUGACCCCAUACCCCUCUCCUCUGGAGGAGCACGGGGCUGGGCGAGGAUGGCCAGGGGCCUGCGCUGACAGGCAGUUUCCAGGUAUGCGGAGGAUCACUGGCCGGCGUGGCUGGGGAAGGCCCUCUGCGGGGAUGCUGCAGCUGGGCUUGUGGAUGGGAAUGAGCAGCCGGCGGGGAGGUGGAGGAGGACCUCAGGCCAGGGGAACAGCGUGUGCAAAGGCCCGGGCAUGGGGCGGUCAGUUCAGAGCUGGGCAGCCAGGAGGGGGCUGGUGGGUGACAGAGCCAGGGGGGUAUGGCCAGAGGUACUGGGCCUGUCCUGACAGUGGGGAGCCCCCUUCAGCUGUCGUGAGUGCUGAGCGACGGUCCUGGCGGCUAUUGAGGUUGGAUCCUAGGGGCAGGAGGGGAGUCCUGAGGCCACGAAGAGGUGGUGGCGCUGUGGCCAUGGGGACGGAGGAGCUCGGGGUAACCAGGGCCUGCACAGUGGUGCCGUUUCUGGGGACACGAGGCACCGAGGGGCGUUGAGGGUGCCAGGUGCACCGGUUGUGAUUGAGGCCACACAGGGCCACGUGCAGAUGAGAAGGGCAGUGUGCACUGAUGCCAGAGCUCUGGGGGAGACCUGGCAGCCUCCCAGGAGGCGGAACCUCCAGGUCUGUGGUUGGAGCUUGGAACAUUUUGGCGGCAGAGCCAGGGGUUGGAGAGGGAGGAUGGAGCAGCGUUUGCUGGUGCAGCAGGCAUUGUGGCGCAGUGGUCUUCAGGGCAGCGAGGGUCAGGUGCAGCGUCCGUGAGCUCGGGCUGGCUGGGAGGGUCCCUGCAGCCCCGUUCUGUCCCAGGGUCCCCCAGGGCCCAUGCUGGCUGCUUGUCCCCUGCUGCAGAUGGAGGACAGUCACGGGCAGAAUGUUGAUCUGGUCCCCGGGGACGCAGGUGGCUGACACGUGGACUGAGUCUUGGCUGAGUUCAGCCUGGCUCAUACGGCCACCUUGCUGUGGGAUUGCCACGGAGGGCUGGCCCCUGCCCACUGCUGCCUGCCCUGGGCAUGCCCUGUCCUCGGGGUCCCAGGCCGCAUGGUGCCUGUGCAUUAUCCACUGUCAGAGGCAUCACACGUCUGCUGGGUGCUGCCUCGGGCCGGGUGCAGGGUUUGGUGGUGAGGAGCCUCCACGUGCCUCCUCAGGUUGCUGGAUGCCGAGGUCGGGGAAACCGGACCUGGGGUGCGGUCUUGAGGGAGAGCUGAAUUUGUGUGUGUGGCUUUGAAACACCCAGCCCCCCCAGACCUUGGUGGGGCCUCCCUUCAGACACCAGCUCUGCGCCAUGUGUGUGCCAACCAUGACCUUGUGCCAGUUGGGCCUCAAAGCUCGGAAGGGGCUGGCGUAUCUGAGACCCAGUUCCGUCACUCGCAGUGAAGGGCUGGUUCCUGCUGAGAAGGCUGGUGAUGUGUGGUGGGUACGCUGCUUCCCAGGAGGGACCUGUGCUGCCCCUGAACUCACCGAGGGCGGGGAGGGGUCCCGAGCACCGCCCACCUCAUGGGAGGCUCUUACAAGAGAGGGGUGUGGCUGGGCUGCAGACCCCAAUCCCUGCCCCAGUCUGGCCCCAAGUUGCCGCCACCUCAUGCUGGGCACGUGGCAGCCCUGCCGACCCCUGCUCUGCACCUGGAUGGCUGGGCGUUGUUCGCUGGCCUGCUGAGGGUAGCUCUGGGCACGGGCACCUCGGGCUGGGGGAGGGCGUGGCUGAGCUUGGUGGCAGGGAGGAAGGCCUCUCCUCGGGGAGCAGGAAGGAGGACAGGGACGGGCUGGUGGGUGGGGGAAGAGGAGAGGCUGACUCAGGUGGACUGAGUCCUUGGCUGCCACAGCUGGCAGUGGUGAGGGGCAGCUCAGCCCUGAAGCUCGUGGUGGGCAGGAGUGUGCCUGGACGGGCCCAGCAACUUGAUGAGCAUGGGCCAGACAGGCAGGGUUCCCAGGUGGUCCCACGCACGGGUGACGUCGGGAGACCCUGCAUUGGGCUAGGAUACCUGUGUACCUGCUGACUUGUCUCAUGAAGUUUGGGGGCUUUUCCUCCACCCAAAUGCCUGUGUGUCUGGAAGUGCAGGCCGGUGCACAGGAUUCUGCAGGGCUGGGCCCGCCGGGCGGUGUCCGCCCGGGAAGGCUGCUUGGAGGAGGGGCAGAGCUGGGCUCUCCGUGGUGACAGUGUGCAUGAUCUCGUCCUGCCUGUGACACCUUCCUCUCCUGGUUGGGUCAGCUCCUGGCUGCAGCUGGUGUCUGGAGGUCCCCAGGCACUUCUGGGACCCCGUCCCCAAGCCCAGGACUGCUGAUUCAUGCCACUUUCCAGAGCACUUGCCGGCCUGUGGGCAGGAAGAGCGGACCCACCAGAUGGCUGUGUGUCGGGGGCGGGGGGGCGCAGCUGCCCAGAGAUAUCAGGAGAUGUCGUGCCGAUCACAUGCUUUGAUUAAACGGCCUGUCUGGGGCCGAGUGGGCAGCUGGUCAGUGUCAGGCUCCCAGGGCAGGAUGCCUGGAGACCACCAGGGGAGGGAGGAACUGGCCCCAGAGAGCCCGUGGGGCUGGAGCCGAAGAGUGGCCUGAACACAGCACUUGGUAUCACCCCCUGGCCCCCCCUUCACCAGCUGCAGUCUUGGAAGGCCCUUUGCCCCUUCGUGCCUCAGUUUCCUUUUCUGUGAGGGGGUGGUGGCCCAGAGCUGGACACACUGUGUAGCAGCCACAUGGGUGGUGUGCUGGUGGCUGGGGUCCCCAGGGGCUUCCCGUGGGCGGUCACCUCCACUCGGAGGCCUGUGGUUUCUGGCUAGUGUCUGUCUUUCUCCGCGCACAGCAGGCCCCAGCCAAUGCCACGUGAGGACUGUGCAGGCCCCUGUACUGUGCCCUGGCUGUGCCCACCCACGUGGGGAGCCCGAGGCAAUGCCUGGUGGGGUCUCCCUGGCCCAGCUCUGCACACACCCUUCCCUGUGGAGAAGCCAGCCUGCUCCUGAGAGCAGCCCCAGCAGGGGUAUUUUCAUGCCUUCUUCUGAGGCGGGUGGGGGUGGGGGGGAACCAGUGGCACCGCUUUCCUGGCUGCCUGUCCCCGCCGCAUGAGGUGACGUAUUUGAGGGGCUGAGUGGCUGAGCCUGGGCCCGGCCUGGCCUGGGUGGUGCCUCCCCUGCUGCUGUGUCCUCAUCUGUCCCCAGGGCCGACGUCAGCCCCUCUUCUGUGUGACGGCGUGGAGGCCGCCUGUUUUGCACCCGCAAGAAGCCCUGCGCCUCAGCAAGCGGGUGUGCGUCCCUCCCCUGCCUCGGCGUCCCUUGCUGUAACAUGGGGCACCAGCCUCAGACUUCACGGGAGGCACAUGGCCUCGAGGUGCAGACACCCCACUGUAGUGGAAUGCUGGCCGCAGGGGCUGAGCCCUCUGAGUCUUUGCUUAGGAAAUCGGAACGCUGGGCCCCCUUCUCCUGCACGGCCAGGCUUGGGGCUGCCAGAGUCUGAAGAGGUGGCAGGACUGGGUUAGGAUGCCCGGUGGGAUGUAAUGGGAGGCCUUGGCCAGUGCCUGGCCCUCUGGGCCCCAGCAUCCCCCUCAGAGAAGGGGCAGUUGGGGGGCACUCUCGAGGGGCCCUGUGCCAUCAGCGGGCUGAGAGGAGGGCAAAGCGGUGGCCCCGGGCCCGGCAGGCUGGUCUCCAGCAUGGCUCUGUUCCUUCCGAUGGCCCUGACCCCAGCACCCCAAACUCUGUUGUCUUCCCGGGUGGGGAGCCCCAACAGGGCAGGGAUCCUUCACCUCAGGAAACGUAAUCCCUUCCCCGGUCUGUGAAUAUUUCAUCAGCAGAUUAAAAAUUGAAGCUGAACCGUCCUUGCUCCUCCAGGAGGGUGGAGGAGGGGUGCCAGCUCCGUUUCAGGCCGGUUUGAGUGUUUUUCUUGAUAAUGGAGCUGCGUCAAUGAGAAAAUGACAUUGUUGGUUAAAAUGCCGUUCUGCCGCCCUCUUUAAUUAAGGCCCGAGAUGUAAUAGCCAAUCCGCUGCUGUGAACGCAUUUUUAACUAUCAGAACUCCAGGUGAAUGACAGCUGGGUUGGUCAGAGGGGGCGUGCGGGCCUCGGAGAGGUUGAUGGAGGCCGUGCAGCUGGGGGUGCCAGUGGCCAGUGUGUAUUGGGUCGGGUGGGCACUCUCUUCUGUGUGCACGUGUGCCUGGGGACCAGGAGGGCCUGGGGGCUGAGGUUGAGAGUCCCACCGAGUUUGCCCACGUGGGUCAUGGUGCUGGAGCCAGAGGGACCUCCGGGUAGCCUGGGAGCCAGCGAGGCUGCACAGGCCGUGGGAGUCGGGGCUGUCGAAGGCGGAGUUGGGCUGGGGUGCAG